GGCCCGUUCGUCUAGUGGUUAGGACCUCGCCCUCUCAAGGCGGAAACAGGGGUUCGACUCCCCUACGGGCUACAA
rnacentral:tRNA from 1 species